rnacentral:rRNA from 1 species
AGCGAACGCUGGCGGCAGGCCUAACACAUGCAAGUCGAACGAACCCUUCGGGGUUAGUGGCGGACGGGUGAGUAACACGUGGGAACGUGCCUUUAGGUUCGGAAUAACUCAGGGAAACUUGUGCUAAUACCGAAUGUGCCCUUCGGGGGAAAGAUUUAUCGCCUUUAGAGCGGCCCGCGUCUGAUUAGCUAGUUGGUGAGGUAAGGGCUCACCAAGGCUACGAUCAGUAGCUGGUCUGAGAGGAUGACCAGCCACAUUGGGACUGAGACACGGCCCAAACUCCUACGGGAGGCAGCAGUGGGGAAUCUUGCGCAAUGGGCGAAAGCCUGACGCAGCCAUGCCGCGUGGAUGAUGAAGGUCUUAGGAUUGUAAAAUCCUUUCACCGGUGAAGAUAAUGACUGUAGCCGGAGAAGAAGCCCCGGCUAACUUCGUGCCAGCCGCCGCCGUAA